UCAGUAGCUCAGCAGGUAGAGCACAUCCCUUUUAAGGAUGGGGUCCUGGGUUCGAGCCCCAGCUGAGUCACAA
rnacentral:tRNA from 1 species